rnacentral:rRNA from 1 species
GAGUUUGAUCCUGGCUCAGAAUCAACGCUGGCGGCGUGCCUAACACAUGCAAGUCGAGCGAGAAAGCCCCUUCGGGGGUGAGUAAAGCGGCGAACGGGUGAGUAACGCGUGGGUGAUCUGCCCUGGUGAGGGGGAUAACCCGGGGAAACCCGGGCUAAUACCGCAUAAGCCCUGAACUGAAAGAGGUUUGAGGGGAAAGGUCCUUCGGGGCCGCAGCAGGAGGAGCCCGCGUCCGAUUAGCUGGUUGGUGAGGUAAGAGCUCACCAAGGCGACGAUCGGUAGCCGGUCUGAGAGGACGGACGGCCACACUGGGACUGAGACACGGCCCAGACUCCUACGGGAGGCAGCAGUGGGGAAUUUUGCGCAAUGGGGGCAACCCUGACGCAGCAACGCCGCGUGGAGGAUGAAGGUUUUCGGAUCGUAAACUCCUGUCCGGAGGGAAGAAGGCAGUGACGGUACCUCUGGAGGAAGCCCCGGCAAACUCCGUGCCAGCAGCCGCGGUAAUACGGGGG